rnacentral:rRNA from 1 species
GACGAACCUUGCUAACGUUAUUCGGAAUUACUGGGCUUAAAGGGUGCGUAGGCGGUGCAGCAAGUCGGGUGUGAAAUCCCCCGGCUCAACCGGGGAAUAGCGUCCCAAACCGCCGUGCUCGAGGGAGACAGAGGUGAGCGGAACUGAUGGUGGAGCGGUGAAAUGCGUUGAUAUCAUCAGGAACACCAGUGGCGAAGGCGGCUCACUGGGUCUUUCCUAACGCUGAGGCACGAAAGCUAGGGGAGCGAACGGG